rnacentral:lncRNA from 1 species
CUUUUUUUCACUUACCUCCCUUGAAAAGAGAUCUUCAAAUUGAAGAACAAACAGCUGUGUAACCUUCCUAAAAAAUAAACAGAUAAAAUAGAUAUAAACAUGAAAAUAAUGUAGAAGUGAGAUGUGACUGUCUUAGUACUGCUGUUACAAUUGCCUGCUCAUUAUUGUAUACUGGUAGAAAGUUUAACUGAUACCUUACUGUGAAAAAGAGGGAAAAUGUUCACUAAAUUGUUGGUGUUUGCUGUUGGUGUGUAUGUUGGUCUGUAUUUGGACCAGCACUACCAGGUUCCAAAAGUUGAUGAUCCUCAGGCAUUGUGGGAUAAGGUGAAAGACUUAUCAGAAAAAUACAAGAAAGACAAGUGAUAGAACUGAUAUAUAAAAGCAUCUGUUGUAUACUUCAUCUCAUGGAAUUUGAUCAUAUUCUUUUAUCAUUUCAUGGAAUUGUUUUAUGUCAUACACUUUCUAGUGUUGCUGUGUUACACACUGGCUCAUAGUGAGUUAUAGAAUUUGGAGAUGGAUUUUUUUAUCAUAAUCUUUGCUGUUACUGGAACAAGUACUGGAAAUGUGGAAUUUUUUGUUUUGUUUUUAAUGCAAGGACAGAAUGAUAGGAAGAUGCAGUAAAGGAUUCCAGUUUGUUAUAAAGCAUUUUAACAUGGCUUUAUUUGUCAGCUAAACAGCUAAGGAGAAAGCCAAGCAUUGUAUAUUCUCCAAUAAAGUAAACUACGGUUGACAUGCUGACAUUAUGACAUCAAAUUGUUGCAAAUCUACAGGUUUUUUACUACUGGGAUAAAUAAAGUUUAGCAUAAUUUUUUAUCAACAUACUUUAAUAAGCUUGUUGGAAUGAAAAUAAGACUGUGAUAUAUCAUCUGAUUUUCUAUAGUUUCUUACUUAGAUGCUUGGAUAUUAAACUCUAAUAUGCACCUGGUUCAGUUCCUGUGUACCAGAAUCUGCACCAUGGUAAAGUAGACAAAAAACACACAAAGACCUGGACUAUUUGAUAUAUCACAGAUUUAGCAGAGAGAAUGCUUCUACAAGCAGCAAAAUCAUUCCAUGACAUUCACUGCUCAUACCUGUAUAACCCUUACUUAGAUUGUUUUCUAUAUUUAACAAGGACCAUAUGAAACUCAUUUUUCCACAUGUUAAGUGCGUGAAACCUGUGACAUUAAAGAUCCAGGCUUCAAAGUUAUAAUAUCAGAGUUUGUAGACCUGUCUCAUGCAACAAUUUCAUUGGUCAGUUUCAAAUUUUGACUUGGGAGUUGGGUGUGGAACAGCCAGUCAGAUCCAGCAGUUUUGAGACUGUCUGCAAACACUGCCUAAUAGCUUUGGACUCCUGAAAGUGUCUGAAAUUGGACCAUUCCCCUGCUAAAUUAAUGGCAUUUUACUAGAUGACUCAUCCAUAUGAAUACCUGGUGGCAAAAUAUAAUAAAAGAUAGUCACUUAUUAUUGGCUGUCAGUCAUAUUGUUUAUACAUGUACUAGUAGAAUGAAUUUUUAACCUAUUCACUAUGUCGCCUGUAUGCGAUUGUUUCUUCUUUAUUUAAUAAAAAAUUUAACUGUUUGAUACUCGAUAUUAUAUUUACUGUUAGAAUUAUAGUCAAAUUAAUAGAAAUGUAUUGUUAGGAAAAAUGCCAUCCUAGUAAUUGCAUGAUUAAUCAGUGCAAAUUGAAUUAAUUUAUUAAAGGUUUUGUGUAUACUCAGUAUACACAUUACUAUAUUUGCAGUUCUUUAUACAUGUAAUGACUUGACAUCUGUGCACAUGAGGAUGAGAUAUUUGUAAGGUUGAAAGUGUCAUGAGUGAUCUUUUCAUUAACAAAUAACAUAUCAUAGGUGGAUCUAAUUACAUGUUGAAUAAAUAUUUGAAAAUA